GAAAUGCGAUAAGUAGUGUGAAUUGCAGAAUUCAGUGAAUCAUCGAAUCUUUGAACGCACAUUGCGCCCUUUGGUAUUCCUUAGGGCAUGCCUGUUCGAGCGUCAUCAAAACCUUCAAGCCCUGCUUGGUGUUGGGUGCCUGUCCCGCCUCCGCGCGCGGACUCACCUCAAAUCCAUUGGCGGCCCCCGCGUCGGCCACGAGCGCAGCAGAAACGCGAACUCGUGAGCCCGUCCGGGUGGCUCCCAGAAGCUACACCCACCCAGUUUGACCUCGGAUCAGGUAGGGAUACCCGCUGAACUUAAGC
rnacentral:misc_RNA from 1 species